AAGCACAGAAAGGAGCAUCUCUGGCGCCCCUGUGUUGACUUUUGUGCCUGCAGCAUAGAGUAGCGCUCGUGGUCAUUGGAUUGUGCGUGCGUGGGACUUCCAAUGCGCGCAUGGAACGUAAUCCACGCGCUCCUGGAAUUAAAAUGAGCUGCUUAUGAUCUUCUUUAUUGCUCCUAUUGGAUUUUGGCGUGAAUUUGACGCCAUAGUUUCCACCUGCGCCGGUGUCGGCGUGGUCUUCGAUCGACUUUAUCCUUGAGUCCAGUUUUCAAGACAAGCUUUUUUCAGCUGUGACUUCCUGCUAAGAUGCAGGACAACCCACCGGCGCAUCGGAGUGCAUUGAAAGAGGAGUGGAAAUUUGCAGUAAACUGAAACUAUAACAAAUGUUUCCUGAGAAAUUCCAUCAGAUUUGUUUCAGCCAAAACAAAACUAACCUGGGU